rnacentral:rRNA from 1 species
AACGAACGCUGGCGGCAUGCCUAACACAUGCAAGUCGAACGAGACCUUCGGGUCUAGUGGCGCACGGGUGCGUAACGCGUGGGAACCUGCACUUAGGUUCGGAAUAACUCCCCGAAAGGGGUGCUAAUACAGGAUAAUGUCUUAGGACCAAAGAUUUUUCGCCUUUGGAUGGGCCCGCGUUGGAUUAGCUAGUUGGUAGGGUAAAAGCCUACCAAGGCGACGAUCCAUAGCUGGUCUGAGAGGAUGAUCAACCACACUGGGACUAAGACACGGCCCAGACUCCGACGGGAGGCAGCAGUGGGGAACAUUGGACAAGGAGCGAAAGCCUAAUCAAGCAAUGCCGCGUGAGUGAUGAAGGCCUUAGGAUUGUAAAGCUCUUUUACCCGGGAUGAUAAUGACAGUACCGGGAGAAUAAGCUCCGGCUAACUCCGUG